rnacentral:rRNA from 1 species
AGAGUUUGAUCCUGGCUCAGAAUCAACGCUGGCGGCGUGCCUAACACAUGCAAGUCGAACGCGAAAGCCCCGCAAGGGGCAAGUAGAGUGGCAAACGGGUGAGUAACACGUGGGUGACCUGCCUUCGAGCGGGGGAUAACGUCCCGAAAGGGACGCUAAUACCGCAUAACAUCCUGCCUUUGAAGAGGUGGAGAUCAAAGCUGGGGAUCGCAAGACCCGGCACUUGAAGAGGGGCCCGCGUCUGAUUAGCUAGUUGGUGGGGUAAUGGCCUACCAAGGCAACGAUCAGUAUCCGGCCUGAGAGGGCGGACGGACACACUGGGACUGAGACACGGCCCAGACUCCUACGGGAGGCAGCAGUGGGGAAUUGUUCGCAAUGGGCGCAAGCCUGACGACGCAACGCCGCGUGGAGGAUGAAGAUUUUCGGAUCGUAAACUCCUGUCGAAUGGGACGAACAGAUUGCGGGUUAACAGCCCGUGGUCCUGACGGUACCGUUAAAGGAAACCCCGGCUAACUCCGUGCCAGCAGCCGCGGUAAUACGGGGGGGGUAAGCGUUGUUCGGAAUUACUGGGCGUAAAGGGCGCGUAGGCGGUUCGAUAAGUCCCGUGUGAAAGCCCCCGGCUCAACUGGGGAACUGCACGGGAAACUGACGGACUUGAGUUCGGGAGAGGGAAGCGGAAUUCCGGGUGUAGCGGUGAAAUGCGUAGAUAUCCGGAGGAACACCGGUGGCGAAGGCGGCUUCCUGGACCGACACUGACGCUGAGGCGCGAAAGCUAGGGGAGCAAACGGGAUUAGAUACCCCGGUAGUCCUAGCUGUAAACGAUGAGCGCUGGGUGUAGGGGGUGUUAACCCCUCCUGUGCCGAAGCUAACGCAUUAAGCGCUCCGCCUGGGGAGUACGGUCGCAAGGUUGAAACUCAAAGGAAUUGACGG